UACGUAGGGUCCGAGCGUUGUCCGGAAUUACUGGGCGUAAAGAGCUCGUAGGUGGUUUGUCGCGUUGUUCGUGAAAACUCACAGCUCAACUGUGGGCGUGCGGGCGAUACGGGCAGACUAGAGUACUGCAGGGGAGACUGGAAUUCCUGGUGUAGCGGUGGAAGUGCGCAGAUAUCAGGAGGAACACCUGUGGCGAAGGCGUCCAUCUGGCCCGUUACUGACGCUGAGGCGCGAAAGCUAGGGGAGCAAACGGG
rnacentral:rRNA from 1 species